ACUGUUGGCCAAGCUUAAAAUAUAAAGGAUAUCAACUUUACACAUGUUCAGAAUUGCAACUGGACUAUUUGAUCUGCUAAAUGAGAGGUCCAACGUUACACAUGCUUUGCACUGCUUUGAUUCAUGUGGAUAAGGAAAACAGUUUCUGUCUUGCAGUGCAACCAUAAAGAAGAUGUUUCCUAUAUUAUUCAAAUACAGUGAGAGGAAAGAUCCUGCCACUGACAUCAAAUCAAAAACCCUGAUGUUGCUGAGAGAAUCUCAUGUUCAAUUUCCCGCACAGCCUGUGUUCAUGUGAUGAGAAGGUUUACUGACUGUCUGACCGACUAAAGCUAUUUUCGAUCUGAGACCAAUGUCUGCUAAUGCAAUUACGUUGAGAGUGGAUGGCUUUUGUGAUUG
rnacentral:lncRNA from 1 species